CCCAGACUCCUACGGGAGGCAGCAGUGGGGGAUAUUGCACAAUGGGGGGAACCCUGAUGCAGCGACGCCGCGUGGGUGAAGGAGCGUUUCGGCGCGUAAAGCCCUAUCGGCAGGGAAGAAGGAGGACGGUACCUGACUAAGAAGCCCCGGCCAACUACGUGCCAGCAGCCGCGGUAAUACGUAGGGGGCAAGCGUUAUCCGGAUUUACUGGGUGUAAAGGGGGCGCAGACGGCAGCGCAAGCCAGGAGUGAAAGCCCGGGGCCCAACCCCGGGACUGCUCUUGGAACUGCGCGGCUGGAGUGCAGGAGGGGCAGGCGGAAUUCCUGGUGUAGCGGUGAAAUGCGUAGAUAUCAGGAGGAACACCGGUGGCGAAGGCGGCCUGCUGGACUGCGACUGACGUUGAGGCCCGAAAGCGUGGGGAGCAAACAGGAUUAGAUACCCGGGUAA
rnacentral:rRNA from 1 species